GGUGUGUGAGGAGCAGCCAUUUCCUCUGUUGCUGCAGAGAGCCGGGCCUGGUGGAUAAACUCAUUAAAUAGGAAAGGCAAUGGAAGCGGAUUACUCAGAGAUCUGAAGAUUAAUGUGGGAAGCAGCAGGGCGAAGCGUCAAGCCUGCUGAUUUCAUCAUCGACUCCCAAAGUUGUUCUUGCUGGACAGCGACAACUCCAAGGGGACCCCAUGGCCCAAGGGAAACCAGCCAAAGGGCACAGCUUUCCGUGUGGUUGACCUGGGAUGGUUUAACUGCAUUUUCAAGUUGGGACGUUUUCCAUCCGUGCUAUGGGACUCCAGGUCAGCCGCCCUCUACAAGAGACCUCGACUGGCUGAGCGAUGACACGUAAGAAGGAAACCCAUGGAAAAUACAGAGCACGAAACUCGAGUGUCUGAGACGAAAGCAGGCCAGACUCAGAAGAACAGUGGCCAAAGGUUGCCGACCCGGAGACAUAAUGAGUGAGGAGGUAUGCUGGCUACGGUCCACAGUUCCUCACAGACAGUCCUUACACUGACUGGGUGUGUUCAGGCUGUUAAAGCAAAGUACCUCACACAGGGAUACUUUUAAACACCAGAAAUUGAUUGCUCGUCAUUCUGGAGUAGGAAGACCCCGUUCUGAAGCUACAAUGUCUGUCUGUCUGUCUGGCCAGGACUAUUUGUCCAUCUCACACAUGUCACCUUCUGUGUCCUCACGUGAUGGGAAAACAGAGGAAAAGAGAAGUUUCUGUCACCUUCCUCAAGAGCACUAAUUUCAUUGAUGAAGGCUCCAGCUUCAUGACUCACUCAUCUCCAGGCCUAACCUCUUAAGAGUGCUACACUGAAAGUUAGGUUUGGGGGCUGAAGAGAUGGCUCAGUGGUUAGGAGCACUGAAUGGUCUUCCUAGAGAAGCCGGAUUCAAAUCCCAGCACCCACAU